UGCCUACACAUGCAGUCGAACGAAGCCUUCGGGCUUAGUGGCGCACGGGUGCGUAACGCGUGGGAAUCUACCCCUUGGUUCGGAAUAACAGUUGGAAACGACUGCUAAUACCGGAUGAUGACGCCAAAGAGAUUUGGGGUCCAAAGAUUUAUCGCCGAGGGAUGAGCCCGCGUAGGAUUAGCUAGUUGGUGAGGUAAGAGCUCACCAAGGCGACGAUCCUUAGCUGGUCUGAGAGGAUGAUCAGCCACACUGGGACUGAGACACGGCCCAGACUCCUACGGGAGGCAGCAGUGGGGAAUAUUGGACAAUGGGCGCAAGCCUGAUCCAGCAAUGCCGCGUGAGUGAUGAAGGCCUUAGGGUUGUAAAGCUCUUUUACCCGGGAUGAUAAUGACAGUACCGGGAGAAUAAGCUCCGGCUAACUCCGUGCCAGCAGCCGCGGUAAUACGGAGGGAGCUAGCGUUAUUCGGAAUUACUGGGCGUAAAGCGCACGUAGGCGGCUUUGUAAGUUAGAGGUGAAAGCCUGGAGCUCAACUCCAGAAUUGCCUUUAAGACUGCAUCGCUUGAAUCCAGGAGAGGUGAGUGGAAUUCCGAGUGUAGAGGUGAAAUUCGUAGAUAUUCGGAAGAACACCAGUGGCGAAGGCGGCUCACUGGACUGGUAUUGACGCUGAGUGCGAAAGCGUGGGGAGCAA
rnacentral:rRNA from 1 species